rnacentral:lncRNA from 10 species
AUCUGCCUUUUUCAAGAAGGACAGGAAAGAGAAUUAUGGGUAUGGACAAUUAUGAAAAUAUGCUCCGGAUAUAGAUAGACCUUCUUUUCAAAGGAUAGGGUUCAGGAGGAGGACUUGAAAAAAGAUCGUCUCAGGGUUGUGAAAGAAGAUACAAUCAGCAAGCCUCUGAGAAAUCACAGCUGAUGACUAAGUCCACAGUCUGCUCAUAAAAUGUAGAGUUAUAGCUCUUGCUCUCACCACUGUCUCUGAUGAGUCUGAAGAAUUGUGAAUCACUAAAAGUCUCUACUUCUUUAAAUGUCUAGAAAGACUGUUCAAAUCACCUGGAAAGCUUGCACUUUUUUUUUUUAAUCUAGAAGACAAUAAAAAGUUGCAACAUCCUCUCUCAGAUCAGACCCAUCUGUUCCUUUACUCAUUCAUUCAACUCUUAUAUAUUAAUUCACUGACUUUUAGGUACCGGGAAUAAUUUCUGAGAG